UGACUACUUUUUUUGAAAUCUCUGAAGAUUUUGCUUUCCGUUUUCUCUCAAUUCUGAGUUCCGUCAACUAUACUCACGGAUGGGAAUUUCAAGUUUCCGUAUCAAGUAAAAACAUGUCUCAAGUGUUUUUCGCUUUCUGACUCCUUCUUU
ensembl:ncRNA H01G02.14 ncRNA